rnacentral:rRNA from 1 species
UACGGAGGGGGCUAGCGUUGUUCGGAAUUACUGGGCGUAAAGCGCGCGCAGGCGGUCUUCCAAGUCAGUGGUGAAAGCCCGGAGCUCAACUCCGGAACUGCCAUUGAAACUGUUGGACUUGAGUACGAGAGAGGUGAGGGGAAUUCCCAGUGUAGAGGUGAAAUUCGUAGAUAUUGGGAAGAACACCGGUGGCGAAGGCGGCUCACUGGCUCGUAACUGACGCUCAGGCGCGACAGCGUGGGGAUCAAACAGG